GAUGAUGACAACUAUUAUUACCAAGUGGUGGACACUGUGAGCACCACCCGGCCCCGCCCUCCAUGAAGGACUUGUCAUCCCUGCAGCCAUCAGUCCCUUUCUUUGACCUGCAAUGACUGCCCCAGCUGGGAACCGCUCCCCCAGGCCAGCUCAGCUGCUCUGUGUGCAGCGCCCCCUCGGGGUCGAGGCUGGGCUGCUCCUCUGCCCGAUACCGCGCCAGGUGGACAAUUGCCAUCACACCAGCUCUUUCUCUCGGUCGGCUUCCAGAGGAACGCGCAACAGGAUGUCACUGUAAUUAUAUAAGCGCUGAGCAAAUCAGGAUCCCGGGGCUGCCUGCAGGCAGGUGCCUCCCUGUCCAGGCAUCUCAGGCAGCCUGCUCGUGAUGUCCCCGGUGUCACUUGACUUUCCCCCUCAGAGCUGGCCGUGGAGCUGGACAACUCAGGUAGCCUAUGCUCUUUCCUGCCCCAAGCCACUGUGAUCUCCGGGUUUCUCGCUGACCUAAGUAGCCACACCAAAUAAACUGUGCUUUGCAGCUUCA